UUUCUUCUUUUUCAGGCAACAGCUGACGCAAUACAACCCAUAUAUUUAAAUAAUAAACAAAUUUGCGACGAUAUUAUUAGAAAGUGCUCGCCUUCACGCCGUUUGGAAUCAAGAGAACUAGCAAGAAUACUUAUAAAUCCGCAUAUCAGGAAUAUGUAUCUGAAGCAGUGGCGGGCGAACUCACAGUAUCACAUAUUGCGAAGUGUGUCUUGCAGCGCAGUCUUAUUCCUUUGAUUCGCUUUGCCGAACGUGCGCAGCGGCGUUGGCAGCGAAAUACAACAUACAGGUUAUGUUGGUGCAUUCACGAGUACGACCUCGUUGAAGUUUGUCGCCGUUAUUCCUUGUCACCCUGUAUUAACGCGUGACAAUGGCAGACCUCCGAGUGUAUUUCUGCCAUGAAAAAACAGCCUCUUAUAAAAAUACAAUCGC